UACGGAGGAUGCGAGCGUUAUCCGGAUUUAUUGGGUUUAAAGGGUGCGUAGGCGGAACAUUAAGUCAGCGGUAAAAUCGAGGGGCUCAACCCCUUUAAGCCGUUGAAACUGGUGAUCUUGAGUGGGCGAGAAGUAUGCGGAAUGCGUGGUGUAGCGGUGAAAUGCAUAGAUAUCACGCAGAACUCCGAUUGCGAAGGCAGCAUACCGGCGCCCGACUGACGCUGAGGCACGAAAGCGUGGGGAUCGAACAG
rnacentral:rRNA from 1 species